rnacentral:tRNA from 1 species
GGGCCGCUAGCUCAGCUGGGAGAGCGCCUCGUUCGCAACGAGGAGGUCGGGGGUUCGAGCCCCCCGCGGUCCACCA